CUGAUCUGUUAUUCCCGCCAGCAAGCGAAGGCGCCGGCCAGAAGCAGUGCGAGGACCAGCCCCGACCGGCGACCCUCUUUCUCUCUUCUCCUACGCUUCAGUGAGGACGACAACAUCAAAGAGCAGCUCCAACUGCCCUGACCAGCGAACUGCGAGCAGCAAACUCCGGCGAAGGCAAGAGCGUUUCAGAUUCUCCGGCUAACUCCUCUAUCUUCUCCGACGACCAGCCCAGAAGAGAGACGGCAGUGCUACUGUUGUCGCCGGAGACCAACCAGAUCUGGCCGGAAAACUGCCAGACCUUGUCGGAAAAUUGCCUAAAGACCACCGAAGCCCUCCAUAUUCACCAAUUUAGGUUUUAUCUAUCUUUUCUCUUUUUUGCUGAAUCUGUUUUUUGAGCCCUUUCGUGCAGUUUUUAUAUUCCGGAUCAGUACUUCCUUGUUAUCUAUUAUAGCUCGGAUUUGUGCUUCAGACUAUAGUAUAGUUAUUGCUAUCGUGGCCUCUAGAGUAUACACUAUACGUGAUCCUAUAGUAUAGUUGUUGCUAUCUUGUCUUUUAGAUUAUACACCUGUUGCAGNN
rnacentral:lncRNA from 1 species